CUGUUUACCAUUAUUUUCCUCGUUUUUUGGCCUAUUGUGACUCUUGGUUUUCAUAGGCUGUAGUUAACAACUUCAGUUAUGGAGAUUCUAAUUUCAGCACAUAACACAGGAUUUAUACUAUGGUUACAUAUGUUUUUUUAAAAAAUAUUUUUCCACCCUGGUUUUAGUGGCUCUUAGUUAACGCUUUUGGUAUCUUUUCUGGUUCUGUUUGAUCAAGGUCUCUUGGAUUUUUAAUUUUGGAGUAUUGUCUCAACUCUCAAGGGGAUUCACUUGGUGAUUCUUUUUGUGUUUCUUAAGUCUUUUGUUUAGGAGCUUUUAGGAUCCUUUGGAGUUAUGUUACUGUGUAUGAUAUGAUUCUAUUGAUCCUUUUAUUAUUUAUAUUCACCUUCAACGCAUAACACGGAACUUAUAUUAUGGCAUAUGUUUUAAAAAAAUAAAAUAAAAUUUCCAACCUUAUUUCAGGGCCAUUUAGUUUUUAAUUCUUUCAAUUUCUUUUACGGCUUUGUUUGAUCAGGGUCUCUUGGAUUUUCAAUUUUAGAAUACCGUCUCAACUCUCAAGGAGAACAAGUAUUUUGAUGGAGUUGCGUGCAAUUGUGGUGCUUCUCACUAGCUUCUUCUAAGCUCUCUACUAGUAAGUAUUCUGGUGACAUUGAAAAUGGUUCUAUAAGCAGUAUUUGGUAGUUGCAUAAAUCUGGUGAUGAGAAUGAAGUUGCAUUCUAAGCCUUGAGUUUCUCACAAGUAAAGAUCUCUUGAAUUCUUAUUUGUGGGUAUGAAAUCGCCGUUUAAGUUUAGAAUAAAAUCUUUUUUUAGUUACAAUUUGGUUAGCUUCUGAGGCCACUUACUGAGUCUCCUAUUAAUUUUUGUGCUUGAAUGUUGUUAAGCAGGGUGCCCUCUUGCAGGGUAGGAAUCCGGAACGUGGUUAGAAUAUUGUUAGAUUAUGGUUCAUUUUUACGGGUUUUCGUUCGAGGUUAUUUCUUUUUGUUUGAAACUUUUUGGACCAUUAAUUGGUGGUUGUAACAGUAUUUAUUUAUUUUUGGGAUCCUAAUAUAGGUAUGAAGCGGUUCGGAGAAUCUUUGUACUCAAUACGGAGCUUGAUUGUAGAUUCAUGUAAAUGGGUCAAUUGUAUUAUAUGACACGUUAGUGAGAUAAGUUGAAUGAGAAUAGAAUAGAUUCUUGAUUUUUAGAAUAGAAUAGAAAAGGAAUGUUUUUAAUGAUGGAUAUGUUUGUAUCAAAGAAUAUAUAAUUUAAUGUUAUUCUUAUGAAAUUAGCUGUCCUAGUUCUUCUUGUGCUUA